AAUUCAGUGACCAAAAGGAAUCAUAAACAGGAAAAUAACACAGAUCCUGGAAAAAACAGAGGUUAGGAGAAGUAAGAAUUCCCUACCGACCGGUCACACCUGCCGUGAACCCCAUGUAUUGAUCAGAUUGAAUGCCCGUCUUUGAUGUAUCUAGAUCAUCUGGCUAUAGGAUGGAUUUUUUCCUUGACACAUCUUGAUUAUCUAAAAAUAAAGCUGGCUAAAAUCUUA